GAUGAAGAACGUAGCGAAAUGCGAUAAGUAAUGUGAAUUGCAGAAUUCAGUGAAUCAUCGAAUCUUUGAACGCACAUGGCGCCUUCCAGUAUCCUGGGAGGCAUGCCUGUCCGAGCGUCGUUUCAACCCUCGAGCCCCCGUGGCCCGGCGUUGGGGAUCUGCCACGGCAGGCCCCUAAAACCAGUGGCGGACCCGAAGGCCCUCUCCUUUGCGCAGUAGCAUCAGCCUCGCAUUGGGAUCCCUCGGCGUCCUGCCUCUAAACCCCCCCCAAGUCCGCCCCGGCGGCACCAAGGUUGACCUCGGAUCAGGUAGGAAUACCCGCUGAACUUAAGCAUAUCAAUAAGCGGAGGA
rnacentral:misc_RNA from 1 species